rnacentral:rRNA from 1 species
CAGCCCCCCGAGUGGUGGGGAUGAUUAUUUGGCCUAAAGCGUCCGUAGCCGGCUCUGUAAAUCUCUCGUUAAAUCCAGCGUCCUAAGCGUUGGGCUGCGAGGGGAACUGCCGAGCUAGAGGGUGGGAGAGGUCAGCGGUAUUCCUGGGGUAGGGGCGAAAUCCAUUGAUCCCAGGAGGACCACCAGUGGCGAAGGCUGCUGACUAGAACACGCCUGACGGUGAGGGACGAAAGCUGGGGUAGCGAAUCGGAUUAGAUACCCGAGUAGUCC